CCUGAACUGCUUAAGAGGGGAGUGAUCCUUUCAGAAAACCCUUUUCACAUGGACUUAAUGAGGAGCUGGAUCAAACUUUUAAGUUUUGCUGGGACAAGGGGCAAUGGACAGAAAAUGGAACAUAGAAAUUCCACCUGAAUAUAAGGAAGAACUUCACUGUGUAGAAGGUGCUGUUUGACAAAGGACAUCACUGCACGCUGCUACAUGACAUGGGGAGCCCUGGUGAGCCGUCUUGCUGCAAACUAAUUUGGGGAAGAAUUACUCAGGAAAAGCUCCCUUGAAAUAAGUGAGACACGUGCGCAUUUCAGCCGUUUCUUAAAAGCAAGAGGUGUCAUCUGCUCUGUGAUUUAAGAGUAGCUGGUUUAUGAAUCAGGGUUUCCCCAGAGAUGACUUUGAUUGUCAGGGUUGCUGCUGCAAGGCUCUUUGCUUUGCUCAGUCCUUGCUUUGGCUGGGCCAGGUAGAACUGCCACGGCUUUGACCUUGCACAGAGGUUGUGCUCACAGUUUUGAAGGCAGUAAUACCUCUGGAUGUAAAGAAGCUAAUAGUGCUUCAGCACUGACUAGGAAGCAAACACAUUGAAGAGGGAUCCUUUGAUAGAAAAAUCUGUCAGCGUGUGGGCUGGCUGCAGUCAGAUGCCACCCCAGCCUGGAAGACAGAAGAACUCUCCAGGAACAAGCCUGCAGGACCAUGGGCCAUAGGCCACAUCCCAUUUCCUAUUCUGAUCUUAAAAAUGUGAACCUGGCAAGAGUUUGGUUUUGCUUUUUAGGAUAGAAGCUGGUUUGGGGUAUGAGUCCUUUAAUCUGUUUUUCACAAGUUGGUCCUUAACCUGCUGCACUGGGGACAAGACCACAUAGGGAGCAAGAGGCUGCUGAAUGUUUGCUUCAAGAUGCCGGUGCCUCCUGAACAGCGCUAGAUCUCUACAUGCAAGGCUGACUUUCGGAACAUUAUCAUCAGGGUCACAUUUUUGCACUUAUCCUUUCUGAUGGUCAUUGGUGUGAGCGCUUGGUGCACACUGGUUAUCUGUCUGAACUUGAGCAGAAUGCAGUAAAUCAGAUUGUCUCUGGCUUCUGGUGAUCACAGCCUCAGCCUCUGGUGUCACAACUUCAGCUAUUGUGCCUCAUGGUGCCAAAAUGGGAUUUUUCAGUGUUAGCCUUAAGAGCCCAUGGGAUCAGAGAAUUCACCAGAAGCAACCCUGUGAAACAGAAACUUUCCAGCAGCUGCUGCUCGGUGUGAACUGCUGGGGAUGAGUUCAGCUCUGAUUCACUGCCUGGUAUCUGUAAGGCUGGUUCCUUCCCAGCCAUAGGACUCUGCUCCUUCCCUCUUCCCAUCAGUGGAACAGAGAAAAGUCAGUGGGUCCACACAAGCUGCUGUUGAAUGUGUAGAGUCGAAAUGAUACUCAGGAAUAUAUUAAAUUGGAGUAAAAAGAAAUGGACGCCACCCAAGACUGAAUCAGAAACUGAAGAAAAAUAAAGAAACCAUGUAAAAACAAUCUGUUUGCAUCAAGCCUGUUAAAUUCAAUACACUUUAAAGCAGCAAAGGGCUUUGGAAAGCUGCUGUGAGGUCCAGGAAUGUGAAAGUGAGCUGAGGACAAGGUGUGGAUUAUGUAAGGAAAAAGAACUUUUAAAAAA